UUUGGUGGCGAUAGCGAAGAGGUCACACCCGUUCCCAUACCGAACACGGUAGUUAAGCUCUUCAGCGCCGA
rnacentral:rRNA from 1 species